AUGUGGUGUCAUGUGGCUUCUUUUCGUGUUGGUUUUGCCUUCUUAGGAACCACCCCUUUUCUAAAGAAGAGCCCAAAGGAAGACUGGUCAUCUCUUGUAAAUCUCAAAACCAUGGCUCAGUCUUCUCCCAGAAACAGUGCUAGAACAAAAAUGCAUUUCUUCAAAUUAAAAGAGAAUAUAGUACUGCAUGGAAGAGGGCAUGGCAACCCACUCCAGUAUUCUUGCCUGGAGGAUCCCCAUGGACAGAGGAGCCUGGCAUUCUACAGUCCAUAGGGUCUCAAAGAGUAGGAUGUGAGUGAGCAGCUAAGGACAGCACAGCACAUAAUACAGCAUGCACCUGUCUUGCAAAGAAAAGAACAGUCAAGAUGAAGAUAGAAUUGACAGAUUGCUGUUAAGUGUCAAGAAGUCCUGUCUUGAGGUUUUGAGACGAGAGCUAUGCUUGGCAGAUUGUACAAAAACCAAGAAUCCUCUAUUUCUCCCCUCUGAUCCUUCAAGAGAUCCUUGAAUUUAAACUGUUAAUGUGUAUUUUAAUAUCUUCCUCUCCCAUAAUGGAUUGUCUUAAACAUUCUUCUAAUGUGCUUUGGGUUUAAUACUAGGCAAACUGUAAGAUAAGAGUUAACUGUUCAAUGUUAUUGGCACAGAGUUUUUGUUUGGGCUUCCCUGGUGGCUCAGCUGGUAAAGAAUCCACCUGCAAUGCGGGAGACCUGGGUUCAGUCCCUGGAUUGGGAAGAUCCCCUGGAGAAGGGAAUGGCUACCCACUCCAGUAGAUACUGGUGAUGGUUACAUAACAUUGUGAAUGUACUUAAUGGCAAUGAAUUAUAUACUGAAAAAUGAUUAAAAUGAUAAAAUUUUAUGUCACAUAUGUUUCACCACACACACACACAAUUAAACAGAAAAGUAUAAGAAACAUAAAAAUCCAUAAGUGAGCAUUGGGGCAAACACUUGGAGGAUUGGAAAAAGAGCAAAGGUAUUAAACCAUCAGCAGUAUCUAUAUCCAGAGCUUUUUCACAUUCCAAACAGAAAGGAAGGGAAAGUCACUCAGUUGUGUCUGACUCUUUGUGAUCCCAUGGACUGCAAUCCGUGGAAUUCUCCAGACCAGAAUACUGGAGUGGGUAACCAUAAUGUUUUGUUGUUUUCAGUGUACCAGUCUUGCAAAUGUUUGUUGUAUUAAUACUGAGAUGUUUUUAUGUUGUUGUAAAUACUGUUCAUUUUUAUUUCAAAUUCCCAUUAUUUAUUAAUAAAAUGCAGUUGAUUAGUAUAUGAAAAUGCA
rnacentral:lncRNA from 1 species